UACGUAGGGCGCAAGCGUUGUCCGGAAUCAUUGGGCGUAAAGGGCUCGUAGGCAGCCAACUAAGUCGGACGUGAAAUCCCUCGGCUUAACCGGGGAACUGCGUCCGAUACUGGAUGGCUUGAGUUCGGGAGAGGGAUGCGGAAUUCCAGGUGUAGCGGUGAAAUGCGUAGAUAUCAGGAGGAACACCGGUGGUGUAGACGGCUCUCUGGACCUAACUGACGCUGAGACACGAAGCGUGGGUAGCAAACAGG
rnacentral:rRNA from 1 species